ensembl:misc_RNA Vault Vault RNA
GGGCUCGCUUUAGCCCAGCGGUUCCUUCGAGUCUGGCUUCCUAACUGCCCCGGCCGAUUGGUCCAGUGAUUCGAGACCCGCGGGCGUUCUCCAGUCCUUUU